rnacentral:tRNA from 1 species
CCCGGCGGUGGCCGGGCUGCUGCGGGCUCUGGUGCUGCGGAUGCUGGCCACCGCUGCGCCCGGUGGCGUCCGGGUCGCCGCCCUGGAC